GAGAGAGAGAGAGGAGGAAGGAAACCAGGAGAGAGGGAGGGACGUGAGGGGGCGGGGAGGAUGAGAAAAUCAGAAACAGAGGUGGUCAGUGAGGGCAAAGAGGGAAAAUAAGUCCAGGAAAUGAGGGAGGGGGGUGCUAGAAAGCUCCAUGGUGGCAAACAAAACACAAACUUAACCUGCAUUCUUCGAGGAUUGUUGCCAUCAUCUUGUGUUUCUUGCCUCUUUGCACCUUCUAUCUAUCAAUAGCCAAACUGGAAUUCCAAAGUGGCGCACCUACCAUUUUUUUCUCGUCUGCAUGGCCCUCUUCUUCUGCCAUCUGGUACCUGAUGAACAAGUCAGUGAUGCUUUUGAGUGGACAAGGUCACCGGAGGGCUCUACCCAGAAGUCCUCUCAGCCAAUCAGAGGGCAGCAUUCAUCUCCACCUGGCAGCGAAGAGAUCUUCGAUGUGGGAUGGCCAGCUGAAAAUAAGGUGGACAUUCGUGUGGGAAGCAGGGUGGUACUAGGGGGUGGGGGAUCCCAGGCUAAUUUACUGGAAACCGAGCUAUCACGGUCAACAGCUCCUUCCAGGAUGUGACUCACUCAUGAACUGCACGGGGGUCGCAAGGAAGGGAGGAAAUGGAUUGGUGCCUUUAUUUGGGCUCAGGCACCAAGAGCGGCUUGAAAUUGCUUCAUCAUUGUUAUUCUGGACAAUUAAGAUCAAGACUUUCCAUGCUCAAAAUGUUUGGGAAUUAUUCUUACAAUAUAGAGUCUAUCCUAACUAUAAAAUGAAUUAAUAGAAAAUAAAAGUCUGGAUUCUUUUAAAACUAAAAAAAAUAUAUAUCAAAUUUCUCUUCAGAAAUACUAGUAUUUUCAUAAUAUUCAAUUUUUUCCUUAUUGAGGUGAUGUUAGGCCUUUUUCUUUGUGAAAUACUUACGUACAUGGGCAUGUAACAUGAGGAGCCAGCUGAAAGGUUACUUGAGGAGCGACUCACUCACUCAGUCUACUGACGUCAUCCAAUUUGAACUCUAAAUUGUUGACUCAGUAGACGAACGCAUCCGCUCACGACAACCAACAAAUCAAUUCCAUCUAUCUAUUAUUCUAUCUCUCUAGCUAUCAAUUAAUCAUUCUGUUUGUAAUUAAAUAUUUUGUAAUCAACUUAUUAUCACUUGAAAAUUCUAGAAAUGUG